UUUUAUUUCCUAUUUAUCCACCGGCGUUUGUUUCGUCGUCGCGUGGAUGAAAUGAUCUCCGCUGUUCGGCGAGUCCGGCGUGUCCGCUUGCUCCCCCGCCGCUUUCGUUCCCGCGCGUGUCGCCCGACGGCCGGCGAGCACCUACGACCGGAGCUAUAGCGCCGCCGGCAGUGGCCGCGGCGGAGGCGCGGAUCACGUGGGGCCCGAGAAUGAGGAGAGGGGUGCGGCGCCGCGCGGAGUCUGGCGGAUGGACAGCGUGACGGCGUCCCCUGGGGACGUGUGGAGGACGAGAGGCAUCGCCGCGACACGCCUUGCAAGCGAAGUAAUGCUAUUUAUUGUGAUCAGUUAAGGGGGAGUAAUACGGAGAGAGAAAGAGAAAGAAGGAUUAAUUAAUUGUCUCCUUUUCCGAUCGCUCUCUCCUACCCGUUUUUAUUGCUUUCCUUCGUCUCCUCGGUGUGCUCGUUGUUAUGUUAUGAAUUCCGGAGGAAUUGGAUUUCUAGUCGGUCUCCUUCUCUUCCCCCCAGGUUGUCGACCAUGGAAUUCCUUUGACACGGCUCCAGAUCGGUCGAGAUGGGAACCGCCGAGGACCGCCAUUUUUUUCCACUCACAAGUUUGCAGAUUGGGGAUUUACAGUCUUAUCUUUCACGUCUGACUCUUUUUCUGGCCACUAAAAGUAAUAAGAUCUUUAUCCUAGUUGACAACCGGCCAUGGUUGAUUGGCCAGGACACACGACCUGCUCGCCUAUGGCAAUUGAUGGUUACCAAGUCUAGGUUGUCUCCUUUUGCAAAUACUAGAGCUAGGAAAGAGAGAAGGGAUAUCGGGAAAGGGCUAGAUUUCACAAAUAGCUCUAUGUCCAAUCCCAUUAAGCAAAAGACACUAUAUAGAUGGUUCUCUGUGAUUGAUGCUGCAUUGUAUCAGAAGAAGGCAUUGAUUCCGGUAAAGAAACUAAAAGAUUCUUUUCUGCUGAAUAAGGAGUUGCAUCACACCUUGUAUGGUUUUAUUGUUUUCGAAGUAGAAUGGGCUCAUGUCCGUGGUAUAAACUAUGUAAAUGAACUUCAGACUGAUACAUCAAUGGCAUUGGAGGUUAAGUUAAUGAAAAGAUGGGAAUUUGAUAGCAUUGAACAAGCAUCAAGCUGCAUUUCUUCAUGGUUUUCUGGGACCUACCAUGAGCGUUCUCUCUUGCAAGAGCAUCUUGACGGUGUCUCUACUAGAGGAGAUGUAUUUUAUGAUGCUCAGGAAGAUAUUUCAAACCCUGUUGGGGCUAGUGGGAAUGUGAGUGAUGAGGAAGAUGAUGUGGACAAACAUUUUUUUGAUAAUUCUGACUCUGUUCAUUCUUCCGAGGAAAUUGAAGAUACUGUAAGCUCAAUUUAUACACCACCUCCAGCUUAUGGGCCUUGCAAGAGAAGAAAGAUAAUGAAAUCAAAAAUGGGAAGGGAGUUUGAUGAAGUUUCUGAGGGAGAAUACAGUGAAACUAUGAGCUCACCAAGAAUUUCACGAUCCUCAUCUUCCCCUAGCAGUGACAGUGAGUGCACAGGUUCAUCUUUUGAGGCUACCACUUACAGAGAUGUUCUCAUUUUGUUCAGAUUUAAUGAUCAUGAUCUCCCAUUUAAGCUGAAGAAAAUAAUUAUGUCUGACUUGAGGCUGCUCACAUUGUUAGAAUAUGGUCUUCCUUCCUGGGUCAUUUUCCUUCAGUCAUACCCAGUAUUUUGCCAAAUUUAUCGUCCAUGGAUGUGCCCUCUGGCAAGAGCCUUAUAUGUCCUGAUUUCCAUUGUCACUGUCCUUAUAGGAUUUUAUGACUUGUAUAAGAAUGUUCCAGUAUUAAAGGCAACUGCAUCACGCUUGUUUGGGCCCUUUUUUGACUGGAUAGAAACUUGGGAAAUGGUUUCAAGAAUUAAGUAUUUGGGAACCAUGCUUUUUCUUCAUAACUUUGAGAAAGCUGUAUCAUGGUUCCUUAUGGUCAUGCGUGCCACUAAGUCUCUACUUUCAAUUUUGACUAGGCCAAUUGCUGGUCCCAUUAUGGAGCUUGCGGAAAUAAUUCUUCCUAUCUGGAAUAUAUGUCUUGCCACAGUUGAGUGGCUAGGUUCUAUAACUUGGAUUGUAGUGGGAUCAUCAUGCAGCAUCAUUGUGGAGAUUCUGCAGAUUAUAGUUUGGCCUUUCUGGCUUGUCUUCAGUACUGCAUGGACUGUUGCAACUUAUGUUAUAUACCCAGUAAUUUGGGUCCUUUGGGGAACUUUGACAGCUCCUUUCCGCUUGGUUCUUGCAAUAGCAAGUUCUGUAGCGACGCUUUUCAUUAACAUUUACCAUCUCAUCAGAGAAAGUUGGUCAUCUAUUAGUUCCAUAUUUCAAUUAGCAUCUGCAUCUGAAGCUACUGUGGAUGCUUAUGAAGCUUCUAUGUGGCGAUCCCUUUGGAAUGACCUUUUUUCUCAGAUUUUUCGAGCACUUCGAAGCAUUCUUUAUGGCUUUGUUGCCUUCUGCGCGACCUGCAAUAGACACCGCCUGAGCAUUUACAAUUAUAUAAGGGAGUUCCUUGUACGCAUAUCUCGUGCUGUCGGUAGUUCAGCACAUUCAUGUUCUGGUGAAGGCAGGCUGAAACAUAAAAAACAGGCUCCUUUUCUGCUGCUGCAAAAAGAUGGAUGUGAAUUGGAAUAACUGUAACAGCUUUUCCCUGAGUUGGAAGAAUGCGGAGGAUCCAUACCGAAGCAUACCUUGCAUUUCCAAGAGAAACUCCGGAGGCGAAGCAGGAGGUGAAAAGUUGGCGAUUGACUAGUGAAAUAUAUGACACAGAAGGCCAUGGUUAGACAACGGCAACACUGCAUUCUUUCAUUCUUUUCUUCCCUAGAAAUAUACAGACGCCCUUCUGUACAUAUGUUUGAGUGGGUAUGCGGUAGCCAUCACAGGUUGUAUAAUGUUAUUAUUAUAUAUAAUUCUGUACUUUUCAAUCAUCCUGCAUGGAGAAGUGUGACAGAGCACAGAGCAGCUGGGAAACUUUGCAUAUUAUUUAGUCCGGUCAAGCUGCAAGAACUGCAGUUUAUGCUCUUUGUACUCAUUACUGGGGCGGUUUGAAUGGAAGUGAUAGCACGCGGGGAUCCAAAAAGAAGUCUUGGUUGGGGUUGAGGUAAGAGAUCCCUUGUCUUGAGGCCAGUAUCCCUUACCACUCGGGCAUUCAUCUCUCUUUAGCUGCCUUACCCCCUGUGAUUUCUCGGCAACACGUAAAGAAAAUUAAAUAGCAUGGAGCAACAUGUGAUUCAGAUUUA